GGGGGAUCGGAGGCGAGGAAGGUGGGGGCGCCGGCGGCGACGCCGCUCUGUCUUCGCUGCUCUCUGGGAAGAGAAAGAAAAAAAAGAACGAGAGAAAAAAGAGAAAAGAAAAAGGUAUAAGGGCACCUCCGCUCCGUCUUCGCCGCUCUCUGGAAAGAAAAAGAAAAAAGAACGAGAGAAAAGAGAAAGAGGAAAGAGAAAAAGGUAUAAGGGUAUUUUGGUCAGUUUGCUGAAAAAGCGGACCGAAUCUGCAAAAGCUAAAAAGAUGGCCCGAUUUUGCAAAAGCCCAAAAUAAGUGGAUUUUUUAUGCAAAUUGGCCAAGAAUUUUCUAUCAAAAUUUCACAUGAUUUGGAUAUUUCUACACCGUUAAACUUGCAAACGGCUAUAUAUAUAUUAUUAUAAUUAAAUCUUAAAUAAAUUUAAGCUGUAAAAUUAAUUUUAUGUUGUCCAUGUGGAAGUUAUAUUAGAUAUUAUAAGAUCUACAGAAUAUUUUACAUAAAUAGAUAAAUUACUGAGUCCGGCUACUAUAUUUUUAUGAGUACGAUCGUCGUCGUACUCAUAAGUUAAUUUUUAUGAUAGAGCUUCCGAAUCAACGAUUCACACAGUUAAACGUUAUCUAGAGCAUUUAAAAUGUCUAAAAAUUAAAUUUUAUAAUUUUUCGAUAUUAUUUACCUUACGAUCAAAAGGUCAUAAAAUUGACAAUUUUUAAUGAUUGGUAUGAAAAAUUUGCUAGUUUAACAAUAUAAAAAAAUCAGAAUCAGUUGAAUUUUUGAUAGAAAAUUUUAUUCAUUACAUAGAUAAAGAUCAAUAACUCCAAUCUUAAAUUGAAGGAUCUGAUUAUCCAUUUUUAAGACGCCGUUCAAUUUUGACCGUUCAUUUUAUACCCGCUUGAUGAACUUUAUUAUGAUUUCAAAAAAUUACAAAAUUUAUUUUUUAGAAGUUUCAAAUACUCUACAUCAUAUUUAACGGAGUGGAUCGUCGAUUCGGAAGCUCCAUCAUUGAAAACAACUUAUGAGUACGAAGGGCGCUUUACUCAUAAAUUAUUUAGUGUGUUUCUCUAAAUUUUGUCGCGACUGAAUGUUUUGCUUAAACAAAAUAAUUGAUUUAUUAUGUUGCCAUGUCUAAAUAUUAUUAGGGACUAUUUGACUGAUCAUAAAUGUAAUGUGGAGUAUAUAUAUAUAUAUAUUUAAAAAUACAAUAGUUACAACGGCAUGCAUCAUAUUUGAUUGGAUAUAAUAAAAAGUGUCGGACUAUAAAUAAUUUGUUCGAUUGCAUGCAAUUAAAAAGUCUAUUUUUAAAAUUUUAUCACUUUAUAUAUAAUGGCGAUGAGAAAAAAAAAUUAUUUAUAAAGUGAUUAGGAAGACAAGCUUAUCUAAGCUUAUCUAUUUAAAAUUAAUUUAUUAAACUGCUACAGUUGAAACUACAAUCAAUUUGAGCGUACUUUCAACUACUGCAGUUAGAUCAUUUUAUGUAAUUCUGACCGUAACAGAUGGAUUCAAAUAAGU
rnacentral:lncRNA from 1 species